UACGGGGGGAGCAAGCGUUGUUCGGAUUUACUGGGCGUAAAGGGCGCGUAGGCGGCGUGACAAGUCACUUGUGAAAUCUCCGGGCUUAACUCGGAACGGUCAAGUGAUACUGUCGUGCUAGAGUACAGAAGGGGCAACUGGAAUUCUCGGUGUAGCGGUGAAAUGCGUAGAUAUCGAGAGGAACACCUGCGGCGAAGGCGGGUCGCUGGGCUGAUACUGACGCUGAGGCGCGAAAGCCAGGGGAGCGAACGGG
rnacentral:rRNA from 1 species